GCCUGGCUGGUUCAGUCGGUGGAGCAUGUGACUCUUGAUCUCAGUAUUGUGAGUUCGAGCCCCACGUUGGGGU
rnacentral:tRNA from 1 species